rnacentral:rRNA from 1 species
AACGAACGCUGGCGGCAUGCCUAACACAUGCAAGUCGAACGGGAUCCAGGCUUCGGCCUGGUGAGAGUGGCGGACGGGUGAGUAACACGUGGGAACCUGCCUUUUGGUUCGGGAUAACCGCGGGAAACUGCGGCUAAUACCGGAUGCUCCCGAGAGGGGAAAGAUUUAUCGCCAGAAGAGGGGCCCGCGUCCGAUUAGGUAGUUGGUGAGGUAAUGGCUCACCAAGCCGACGAUCGGUAGCUGGUCUGAGAGGAUGAUCAGCCACACUGGGACUGAGAUACGGCCCAGACUCCUACGGGAGGCAGCAGUGGGGAAUAUUGGACAAUGGGGGCAACCCUGAUCCAGCAAUGCCGCGUGAGUGAUGAAGCCUAGG